ACGGAAGGCAGCAGUGGGGAAUAUUGGACAAUGGGGGAAACCCUGAUCCAGCGACGCCGCGUGAGUGAAGAAGUAUUUCGGUAUGUAAAGCUCUAUCAGCAGGGAAGAUAAUGACGGUACCUGACUAAGAAGCCCCGGCUAACUACGUGCCAGCAGCCGCGGUAAUACGUAGGUGGCAAGCGUUAUCCGGAUUUACUGGGUGUAAAGGGCGCGUAGGCGGGAGAGCAAGUCAGAUGUGAAAUCCAUGGGCUUAACCCAUGAACUGCAUUUGAAACUGUUCUUCUUGAGUGCUGGAGAGGUAGACGGAAUUCCUUGUGUAGCGGUGAAAUGCGUAGAUAUAAGGAAGAACACCAGUGGCGAAGGCGGUCUACUGGACAGUAACUGACGCUGAGGCGCGAAAGCGUGGGGGGCAAACAGGAUUAGAUACCCUGGUA
rnacentral:rRNA from 1 species